rnacentral:rRNA from 1 species
CUAAUACAUGCAAGUCGAGCGCGGGAAGCAAGCAGAUCUCCUUCGGGGGUGACGCUUGUGGAACGAGCGGCGGACGGGUGAGUAACACGUGGGCAACCUACCUGUAAGACUGGGAUAACUCCGGGAAACCGGGGCUAAUACCGGAUGAUACAUAUCGUCGCAUGACGAGAUGUUGAAAGGCGGCAUAUGCUGUCACUUACAGAUGGGCCCGCGGCGCAUUAGCUAGUUGGUGAGAUAAAAGCUCACCAAGGCGACGAUGCGUAGCCGACCUGAGAGGGUGAUCGGCCACACUGGGACUGAGACACGGCCCAGACUCCUACGGGAGGCAGCAGUAGGGAAUCUUCCGCAAUGGACGAAAGUCUGACGGAGCAACGCCGCGUGAGUGAUGAAGGUUUUCGGAUCGUAAAACUCUGUUGUUAGGGAAGAACAAGUGCCAUUCGAAUAGGUUGGCACCUUGACGGUACCUAACCAGAAAGCCCCGGCUAACUACGUGCCAGCAGCCGCGGUAAUACGUAGGGGGCAAGCGUUGUCCGGAAUUAUUGGGCGUAAAGCGCGCGCAGGCGGUCCUUUAAGUCUGAUGUGAAAGCCCACGGCUUAACCGUGGAGGGCCAUUGGAAACUGGGGGACUUGAGUACAGAAGAGGAGAGUGGAAUUCCACGUGUAGCGGUGAAAUGCGUAGAGAUGUGGAGGAACACCAGUGGCGAAGGCGAC